GAGGUGUCUGCCUGGAACGCUUAAAGAGGAUUGGAGUAAGAGAAUGAUGUUAACAAAAUACAGGAUAUCAGGGUGAGGCUUUCCAAGGACUGUCCAAAGCUACUGAGGACUGAAAAACAGGGACAAACUUUUAAAAGAGCUAGCUCCUAAAAGACCAUCCCCUCUGCCUGAAGUGGUAACACUAACAGGAGAAAGAGAAAUGGGAAAAAUCUAUGUCCUGGGAAAGUCCUCCUUGGAUCCCCAGCAAAGUGCCUAUGUUGGCCGUUGUGGGUUCAUUUUUGUUGUUCUGUUGCUGAUUUGUGCAGCCAACUGCUACCUCGGGGUCCUCAGCAGCAUCUCAGACAGCUGCCAGUCCUCAGGGAAGAGGUGGAUGUUACCAAACAGGAUGGACCUUAUGAAGAACAGUGUCCCCAGCUCGGCUGCAGGACUUCUGCCACGUGCUCAUCUCCUGCUUGGGGCAGUAAACAGGGCAAAAGCCAGACUCCCACGGAGUGGAGCCAGGUUGUGGGGACAAAGCAGGGUUUUCUGCAGUGCUGUGUAUGGCCACAACAGCAAGGCCUUCAUCAGAAGAUUGCCAAUGGGAGCAAUCAUCUGUAUCGGAACGGCUGGCUGCUGGAAGAGGGAUGAGAGACAUGUCUCUCCUUCUGGCAUCACGAAUAAUCCUAUCUGUUUGGCUUUCUGCUCUUGUCUCCCUGGCGUGCCAGCGGUGGUGAACGAGGCAGGUGAGCUGACGGCGUUUGUCUAGGGUGAGUGCCAGCGGGGAAGAGCAGGAGUGGAGCAGCUGAGAGUCAUGAGGAAAUUAUGUGGCGCUGGGACAGACUUUCCCUCUGGGUCUUCCCCACACUUAAAAACCUGGAAUGCAGUCUCAGGGCUGAUCACAGAGCUCCUACCUUCCUCCGGCUCCAUCUACACGGAUGAGACAGUGUCUACACAGCUGGGUUGGAGGCACUUUUAUCAUCCCAGUGCCUCUGUUGCUGUUUCCCCCCAGGAUAACAAACGUGUGGCUCAGUGCAUGGCAAGACAACAUUCAAGACUUGCGUUCAGGUCUGGAGCUCUGAACGGAAAGACUGAGCUCUGCACACCCCUGAGCGAAGCUCCUUGCAGCUUUCUGCCCAGAAGCUGUCUCCUGUGCCAGCUCUCAGCUCUGCCCAGCUUUCCCAGAAUGUUGUGCAAAACCAGCCCCACUUUCUGCUCCUAACAGCACGGAGCUCAAAAUGAGGAUUAGGACGUGUGGCUGAAAUGUUGAGUGAUUUGUUGGGUAUUGUCACGGUCCAGCUUUGGAAGAGGUACACCGCUGAAAAUAUCCGCUAUGGUGAUGGUCCUGCAGAGGUCCCCUAGUGUGAUGCAAACAGCUUUUGUGGGGGACUGCCAAAUGAGAAACGAAAAGAGAUUUUUAAACAUUUCAGCUUCUGCCUAGGACUGCUGCAAUCCUCCUGUUAUUUGCUGCAUCACUCUCCAUCCUUCUGCUGGAGGGACAAGGAAUGCAGCCCUGCUGUUUAAUCGCUUGCCUUUACUGCUCACUUGUGGCUCGUACUUGCUCCUCAGCGUUGCAAGUGGAAUGCAGUAGCGCUGCUCUGCCGUACCACCGAGGAGCUGAGAACCAGGCCAAUAUCAUCAAAAUUCAAGGCAUUCCUUUCCCCAACGUGCUUUACGUGGAAAAGUACCCUUAACUCUCUCUCUAGCCCCAAAUGGCAGGCUUGAGGUCCUCUUUACCUGCCAAUGAUGCUGGGCAAGCUUACAGCCCAGAUAAAUCACAGGCAGCUGGGGAACGGGCGGUGGCCCUUCUUUCCCCACUUGAAAGGCAGCUUUUAAAAAUUGGUUGGAAUCCAGCCUUUAAUUCUGCAGCCACAGAUUUGAACCCGUAAUCAGAUGUGAGCGUGGAUUUGCAGCUCCCAUCUGCCGGAGCACUAAGGACAUCACAGUGCACAUUGCCUGCCUAAUCCAGAGGAACAGUUAGACCACAUGGAGCACCAAGGCUCAGACAACGCCGGGUACCACGGAGGCACUGGCUGGGUGGAGGCCACUCACAACGCCCUGGGACUUGGGCAUUCAUAACGAUAACCCCAACGUCGAGCACUUUGCUAGGAGCCAUCAAGUGCUGGGGGCAAUGUCACGUGCAGUAUUGACUCCACAUUUGCUGGCCCUCAAUACAGAGCAACAUUGCUGAGUGCCUUUACCUGUCCCAGUGGUGUGCGAGGUGCUGGAUGGAGCGGAGGGGGCAGAGAGACUUUCUGAGGCCGUGCAGGCUCCUUCCAGAUGAAAGACACUGUCCUAGGAAUAUCGGGUUUUAUUAUUUAUUUAAGGGAUGUUUUCAUGACACUGCAAUUUCUAACCCAGCAUGGCGAGGCCGUAAAAUAAUAGUGGGUCUGUUUGGAAGAAUGUGUUUUAUUUGGCACGUUUGGGGAAUGGCAGUACAAAGGCAGAAAAUAAAGUUGCGAUGUUUAUGGCAGCCGGGCUCUCUGUCCGUUGAUAACCACUCACCACAAAUAACUGCUUUGCUGGUGCCCACAUACGAUAUUUUAAGAUGUGAGCUCUUAAAAAGAGGCUCUUAAACAUCAGCAAUAUUUAGUGCCGUACAGCCUCCUGGCCACCACAUAAUGACGGCUGUGUUUUUUAUGAAAAUGAAACUCAUCGCAUUCUGGUCUUUGCUGUAAGGCCUCACAUCAAUCACUCAACCCCAAGCCGUGCCUCACACCUUUUCAAUUCCCCCAGCCUUGCUCUUUCUGUCACGUUAGGCCUAAUGUCUCUUUUUUGCCUCCUUCCUUGCUGCCUGCGCUUUGAGGAAAUACGCUCUCUCCAGGGCUGCUUGCUGAACAAUUCUCCCACGGAUCUGGCGAGGGAGGGAAACCUGAUCCAGUCUGCAUGACAGCCACAAGAGCAGAGUUGACUUCUUCUUAUGAUAAACCAAACUGGGCGUAGGUAGUGACAAGAUCAAGCAGCAGGUAAGAUAAGUAAACGAAUUUCUGCCCCCCACAAAAUCCACUGUGGGACUCAUUGCCACCGGAUGUUGAGAAGGACAGGAAUAGAAAUGAUUUAAAAAAGGAACUAAGUGAAUGAAUGAAGGCUGGAUUCAUCACUUGUUGGUAAACGCGGUGACUCAGAUGAACCACGCUGCUGAGAAAGCCACCAGAAAGCUGGUCGGAGCUGCGAGGGCAACUGGUGUGAAGGUAGCCGGCCCCAUGCACCCGCUGCCGGUACCGCAGGAAGCAGGCAGCUCAGAGCACUCAUCCAAUUCUGCCACCCAUUAGGAGUAAAACAAUUACAAACUGUCAUCACUCAACACUACAGUCCAAGUGCAGUUAAUUUAAGGUAAGGCUUUGUCUUACGGUUGGAGUGACCCAAUUCUUUCACGUUUUCAUCUCUUGCUUCCCUCCUUUUCUGCCCAGUGUUGUAUCUCUCCUGCUCUGCUGGGAUAAGUUUUGCUUGCGUGCACUUCAGGGAUAUGACUGUGUAAGGUUGUCUCAUGCAACUAAAAAUAAAAGCACAGUAGCUUUAUUCAUCCACUCUUACUUUCUUCUGCUCCUUGAUAUCUGCACGAACAAUGACUCUCCGUGCUCCUUUGCCUCCUCCUCUGACCAGACGAUGGUAAGUGCCACGAAGAGGCUUUCUAUCGAGCUGGAAAAUGGGUCUGCCCUUUGCUAAGAGCUUGGUCCUGGCCUGGUCCCUUGUCACAGAAGCUGCUGGUGAAACCCUGGUUCACAAAGGAGUGAGGCCAGUGCUGAGUGCUUGACAGCUCUUUCCAUGAGGCUCUUGUGCUUUGAAAACCUCCCACCCACUAGUUGUUUUGAAUUAGGGUUUUGGCCGGGGAUCACUGAGUUACACAACGUGGCAUGAGAACAUAUAUUGCAAACAGAACACAGAGCUGUGCCGGGGCCGUCGGUCGCUUAUACGGCGCCGUGGCGUCACCGCGUGCAUCCUGCCUUGGGUCCUGCAGGCUGCAGUCAGCUGAGGGCCUGGCUCUGAGGCCGCGCUCUUUCCUCUCCAGGCCUACAACACUGCGAAGGAACGGGAAGCAGAGAGAAGCCCCUGCUGCAGAAAACUCAUUUAUCCGUCCUGUUCUCAUUCGAGAUGCUUGUGCACAAAGAGAUACUGACGGGCUGUUUGUUUCAGGGCCCUGCUGAGGAGGGCAGGCGUCUCUGCCAUGCUCAGUGCUGCCAGUCACCAGACGGCCUGGUGCUGCGCGGCGCGAGGGCGCCCGCAGUAAACAGCCACGGGGACAAUGGGGGCUCUGAGGAGGAGGAAUGGGUUUGUACCAGGGCUUGCAAGGGUACCUGAAACAACAACGGGGCGAUUCAGCGGCAAAAAGGAUGAAUGAGGAGAGAUGAGCAAAGCUGGGCUUGUGCAGGCUGGCACAUGAUAACGUUAUUGGCCCUGUCAGUUGAUGCAGGGUGAAGAAUGCAGACAGAAAGUGCUUUUAGUCAGCUGAGUUAGCGUAGGAUGCUAGUGAGGUUAUUUUCUGGUAUUUUCUGCCUCUUUCCCCCUUCCCUGAGUCACUCCUCAUCUCCUUUCAUCUGGUUGCGUUCCUGGUUAUCAGGCAGCAACACGACCGCGGGAUUCCUGGCAUAGCAGAGUCAGCGGGAUCG